GUCGGGAUAACUCAGUUGGUAGAGCAGAGGACUGAAAAUCAUCGUGUCACCAGUUCAAAUCUAGUUCCUGGGA
rnacentral:tRNA from 1 species